UACGGAGGAUCCAAGCGUUGUCCGGAUUUAUUGGGUUUAAAGGGUGCGUAGGCGGAUAAUUAAGUCAGUGGUGAAAUCUUGCGGCUCAACCGUAAAAUUGCCAUUGAAACUGAUUAUCUUGAGUACAGUUGAGGUGGGCGGAAUGUAUCAUGUAGCGGUGAAAUGCUUAGAUAUGAUACAGAACACCUAUUGCGAAAGCAGCUCACUAAAACUGCAACUGACGCUGAGGCACGAAAGCGUGGGGAUCAAACAGG
rnacentral:rRNA from 1 species